ensembl:lncRNA
GCAAGAUUUACUUGGCAAGGUUUUUCUGUCUUUUCUUGCUGUAAACUUCCUGUUUCUCCAUAACCACAUGGGUUAAGAAACACUCAGGAAGCGUUAGUGUGAAAGCGCAAAAAAAAACAAAAAAAAACCCUGUUCACUACAUGAAAAUACUGUGAUGAUGAUGUUUAUGUGAUGAUGUCUGAGACCACACAUUUCGCCUCCAUUGUAUCUUGCGCAACAGUGCUACAGAUGUAUGAGAUGCAGCUCAACAAGGAAAUGAAAGCCUAGGUUUACAGAGGUGUGAAAGCCCCCAUAAUAUGUGCCAAUCGUUCCCUCAAAACACAGGUUUUAAGAGGCAGAUAAACGUUUGCAACAGAAAGCUCUGUUUUUGGAGGGAAAAUAGGAAGAGAUGCUACCUAAUGAGUUCCUUUUGGCUGUAAUCCAUCUUUCAGCAUUUGUCAGUGGUCACACAUGUGUGGAACAGCAGCCAAACGCUGUACAUCUCACUGAGGGAGAAAAUGUUACCCUGUCAUGUCACAUCUAUGUAGAGGAAGGAGAGAAAAUUACUAAAUUCCAUGUAGAGUGGUACAGGGAGGGUGCUGAUAGACACCCAUACGAGGUUGGAAACCUUUCCCAGCUCAGAGGAAGGUUUCGUGAGAACACCAAUAUCAAACAGCAAAAUGCAAGCCUUUCACUCUUCAUGCUCAAGCUAAAUGACACCGGCAAGUACUUCUGCAAUUUCAUCUACCGGAUUGGUCAUAAAAUAUUGCAGAAUUAUGCGAACGGCACAAGCCUCAUUGUCCAAGAGGCGGUGACCACAGACACAACCAUCCCCAGUACCACAAAUAAGACUGGUAAUAAUACUGAUGCUGAUACUGAGCACACCACCACAGAGAAUGUCCUUCUCACAUUCCUUCUUUAUCUUCCAUUAUCAAUAAAGUUUGUGGCAACUGUUUUUAUAUGCUUUUAUACAUUGUUUUCCUAUACAUCAAUUGCUUUUUAUUGUCCUGGUUUACUAUCAAAUUUAAGUUGACAUCUUUAUAAAUGUCUCUUUAUGUCUCUUGUUUUUCACCUAAUAAGUGAAUCUUAUGACUCAUAAACACCCACAGAUGAGUAUGUCAAAUGUUUCUUCUGCGCAUAAAUAUUAUAAUUAUGACAGUCCUUGGUGUUUGUUCUGAAUUGUGUUCUCAAUUAUGAAAAAUGCGUGAAAUGUGUGUCAGUGCAUGAAAGUGGCUAUAGGGAGGAGUAUUAUUUCUUCUUUAUCCUCACAUGAGGAAAAAUUUAUGUAUUAGUAGUAGAUUAACAUAAAUAUUGGUUUGGCUCAAGUGCUGUUAUUUUUCCCCCAGGACAUCAUGGACAGUGUGAAGAUGUGUUUUAAUUUUAAGCUAUUAUAAGAACAUGACAUAUCGAAGACCCUUUACUUCAUAAAUCUUUCAGUCUGUUAUACACUUUUAAAUGCUGUGGUGUUUCUGACAGUGAGUAUGUUUAUGCACAUCAGUAUUCCGAUAUUAAUCGUAAUUUGGUGAUAUUCUUAUUAGUAUUGAGUAAUGUAAACUCCACAAACCAACUCACCAAUUCAGAUUAAGAUAAUAUUCUGAUUUCCCAAAUUGUGAUUCCCAACCCUGAAUUAUGCUUGAAAUUUGUUGCAUGUAAAAACCUCAUUCAGAAAAUCUAAGGAAUUGUGGGUGCUAACAUAUGCAUAGCUUCAGGCUGGGUAUUUAGGAAUGGCAACUCUGGCAUACUUACAACAACCAUGUAUAUAGGAAUAUUCUAACACCUGUACACAUAUAUCAUAUAUAUUGUAUUCAGAAUCUGGCUGCAACCCAAAUUACCCUUAAAUGGAAUUUGAUGUGCAUGUAAACGUAGUCAUUGUCUUUACUGAGAUAUAUUGAUAUAGCGUCUCAGUCUGAGAUUAUUGAUAUUGACAGUAAACCUUGAUUGAUUUCUAACAUCUGUACAAAAUCUGUGUCAAAUAUGUGUCAUAGUUGAAUCAAAUGACUUCUACAUUAAUUAAAAUUAAUUUUUGACUUAAUCUGAUCUGAAAUGCCGAUGAUUCGAUUUAUGUUCACUUUUCUGUUUUAGUUAUUUUAGUCAGGACUGUAAGUGUAAAAUCACCGGGUAAAAUACUGAAUUGGUUUAAUUUAUGAAAGAUUCUUAAAUGGUUUAAUUAAUGAAAUAAUCUAAUAUUAGUUAUUAAAAUAUUCAAGAGCCAAAUUACACAAGAUACAUAUUCCAGAGGCAAGAGUGUGGUAAAAAUGUGGAGCGUGAGGAUGAUUCCAUGGACUCUGAACACAGGGGGCCCAUAGUGACUGUACAUGAUGAAAAUUAUCCAGGAGAUCCAAAGCUGUCCAGUGAUAGGGGGUUCAAUGCA